UGGCGGACGGGUGAGUAACGCGUGGGUAACCUGCCUCAUACAGGGGGAUAACAGUUAGAAAUGACUGCUAAUACCGCAUAAGCGCACAGGGCCGCAUGGUCUGGUGUGAAAAACUCCGGUGGUGUAAGAUGGACCCGCGUCUGAUUAGGUAGUUGGUGGGGUAACGGCCCACCAAGCCGACGAUCAGUAGCCGACCUGAGAGGGUGACCGGCCACAUUGGGACUGAGACACGGCCCAAACUCCUACGGGGGCAGCAUG
rnacentral:rRNA from 1 species